CCCAAACCCAAAAUUAAAACUAAACCCUAAUGGCCCAAAAGGCCCAAAAUACAAAACAGAAACAGUAACCCUAGCCUAGCCUAGCGCCGCACCCCACUUGCCCUGCCACCAUCUCUGCUGGCCGCCGCACUGCCACUACCGCCACUGUCCCAUCGCCACCUGCUCCACCUGCAAACAAUAAAGAAAAACCACAAUAGCAAGCAAUAGGGGGCUUUGUUUUUUAUUUUAUUUUCGGUAUAAAAAUCGAUGGAAAACAGAUUGUAAAGGGGGGGCCGAACUUCAUUCUUGUAACAGGGGCUCCCUUCCGUUUUUUGUAAAGAAAAAGAACAUUAGCAGAGAAAUAAAAAAACAAAAAUAGAUUUACUCCAAGGUUUUUUUCCUUUUUUCAUUUCGCAUCUUUUUUUUUACCCGUUCAUUUCCUAUUUUCAUACAUACAUAUAUACAUAUAAAAACAGUUUAUAUUAGCAAAAUACAAAAAAAGUUUAAAUUACCUUUUUUGAAUUUUCCAGCCACCGUGUACGGUGGCCGGGACAGUGGCGCGACGGCGGCUCUCGGCCGGGCUAUUGACCGGAGAAAAAGGAGGAGAGAGAUUUCAGA
rnacentral:lncRNA from 1 species